ensembl:lncRNA
GUACAGCCAGUGAUACUUUAAAAUAUGUGAUGUUUGCUGAUGAUACAAACUUAGUUUGCUCAGGAAAAGACAUAAAGAAAUUACUGAAAACAGUGGAAACAGAACUCAUGAAGUUAAAUAGAUGGUUUGUGUCACGGUUUGCCGGGGGCAAGCCGUGUGGAGUUGUAGAAAAGGACCCAAAAGGCGGCAGCUCUGGUGCAUGUGAAUAUUUAUUUACCACGGUGGGUACAAAACAGCACUGGUGGAAAAACAAGAAACCGGAAACCUAAACUGGGUAAGCUAAUAACACAAACCAGAAACGAGGAUGCAGGGAGGUCCGGGGAAAUACAUACGGAGAGACGCAGGGAGACCGAGGGGAAACAACACAGACGAACCAGCAAUUACUAUGACAGAAGACACAACUUAAAUACACUCAGAGAACACAGGGAGAUUACAUACAGGUGGGAACACAGCUGGGAGUGAUUAACAUGACGAGACUAGGGAGGCAACUGAAAACACUCACAUAAGACACAGACCUUCACAAUAAAACAGGAACUUACACAAGAAAAGACACAAACUAAGAAACGCGGACUAGAUACAGGAACACACGGGCAGAACAGAGUAAACACUAACCAGAGAAAGAACAGAACCACAAUCACGAAGAGAAAACACAAAACGCUGGGUCAAAAGGACCCAGGAUCAUGACAGUACCCCCCCGUCAAGGGCUGGCCCCAGACAGCCCAACACAAGAACACCAAAGCAAAAAAAAAAAGAAAAGAAAAGAAAAGAAAAAAAAAAAGAAAGAAAACCGCCCAAAGCAGAAAACAACCUGACCAGGGCGGGCGGCGGGGGACUCAGGAAGGAGGGCUCGAGGCAAAACAAAAACAGGAGCACCAGAAGGCCAAAAGACAAAAAAACAAAGAAACAAAACACGAGGCCAAAGACCAAAAGAAAAGAAGCACACCAAAGCACAGGAACACAGAGACCAAAACCAAAAGAAAAAGACCAAUAAAACAAAACACACCAUAGCCCAAGGAAAAUGGAGACCAAAACAGAAAGGUCCAGGGGGCCGGCCAGGGGGCCGACAGCACAGGAGUCCAAGACAAAAGAGUUCAGGGGGCCGACCAUGCGGACGGCAACGGCGUGGAUACAGUUCGGGAGGCCGGCCGUGUGGAUGGCAACGGCGGCGACGUGGAUACAGUUCGGGAGGCCGGCCGUGCGGAAGGCAACGGCGGCCACUCAGGCGAUGGCGGUCCGGGGGCCGGCCGUGCGGAAGGCAGCGGCGGCCACUCAGGCGAAGGAGACGACGGAGCAGUUCAGGGGGCCGACCGCGCGGAAGGCAGCGGCGGCGACGAAGGAGACGACGGAGCAGUUCAGGGGGCCGACCGCGCGGAAGGCAGCGGCGGCGCUCCAGCGUCAAGCGUACUGGCCGAGGCCCAGUGGGCACAGGACCAGACGAGGCAGGCGAUGACGGGGCCGGACCAGGCGGGGCUGCAGAGGCUGGACCAGGCGAAGCACAGGCCGGAGCCGGACCAGGCG